CAAUGGCACUGCCCGGUAGCUAAAUGCGGAAGAGAUAAGUGCUGAAAGCAUCUAAGCACGAAACUUGCCCCGAGAUGAGUUCUCCCUGAGACUUUAGGUCUCCUGAAGGAACGUUGAAGACGACGACGUUGAUAGGCCGGGUGUGUAAGCGCAGCGAUGCGUUGAGCUAACCGGUACUAAUGAACCGUGAGGCUUAACCUUACAACGCCGAAG
rnacentral:rRNA from 1 species